ensembl:lncRNA
AGAGAGAGAGAGAGAGAGAAAGAGAGAAGCCUUGAAAUUUUGCUUGUCAGUUUGUACCCGAAAAGUAGUCUGUGUGUAUUUAUUAUGCGCCUUCCAGAUAUCCCUGCUUCUGGCUGAGAACUCCAAUUCUGAGUCAAGGCUGGACCCCAACAGCACCACCACUCUUCAGCCAUCAUUUCCCAUGGCAUUCUGUCACGUAAGUCUACAUAUGACAUUAUUACAGCUAAGCAUCGAGCCUCCGCACAGCUUGUCGAGCAACAAUGUAUGAAUACCCCUAAGCGGUGGAUGGAUUGACUGCACAAGAGUACAAGACAGGUACAGAUGGCUAAUGUUUGGUAUCAUUUCCUCAUUUCUCCGGUUAGGACAGAGAAGAUCAUGCACAUCCUCCCCUUUACUGACUCCUUCACUAAGAUUUUGAACUCCUGAUGCUCCCGUCUUUACUGCCCUACUUUAAAGGCGUGACUUACACCUGUUUAUGCCUGGUUGAGGAUGGUAGAAGGGCCCCAGUACCCUUCACUAUUUGGAAAGGAUUUAAGUGGCUUUCCUCAUCUUAAAUCUUUUCAACGUUUAUCUUGGUUCACGAGUCAACCCACGCACAAAAUCUACGGCAGGUGAAACAUAAAACAAGUGUAGUCCAAAAACUCAGAACACUACAGUUAAUUCGUCAUGACUUCAGCUCCUGUCCCCAGGCUGACUCCCAAGUCCUCCGAAGAGAUUGACAGGAGAUGAGCUCCUAACUCAACUGGGAACUCCUUCUAACAUUAGCAACACACUGGCCGGCCGCCCUCAAGAGGCAGCAACAAGGCCCCCCUCCAGUGCGCGCCCUCUCGUGGCUCCUAGGGCCACUAUCUACUUCCUGCCGUUGAGACUCAAGAGCGGAAGAGCGGAGAGCCGCAUUGGCGUCUAGAAGGCGAAGACUUUUAGACAGGGUGCCGGCCACUGCGCACUUUCACGCCUGGAGAAUCUGCUUCCAAAGCAGUGGGAAGGAAAAGGGCUGUGUGUAGACCGCGG